GGGGCCCCGCCCGGCCCGCCGCAGCGCUGGGUUCCCGCUGCAGCGCGCGGUGGCGGCACGGGGCUUCUGCGCGCCGUUGGUGAGCGCGCGGGGCGGUCGGCGGCGGGCGCAGCCGUGAGCCUUAGGAGCGCAGGAGCGGAAAGUGCGGAUUGCCGUUGAAGAUCCUCCCAAAAAAAGUACGUGACUGGGUAUCUCUUACGUAAAUAACUCUUUACAGAUGGGGUUUGGGGCGGGAAUAAUACCAAUUUGAUAAUAAAUGUUUAGCGACUGAACUACUGAGACUUGUCUGUUGAAAUCAAGGUAUAGGCUUGGUGUUUUGUUUUUAAGGCUCGUCUGUGUAUGUGUUUUCCUGAUAGAAAAUAAAGUGCAUAAGUUACUGUGACUAGGAAGAACUGGGCUUGGGUGUAGGUGUAUUAGAAACGUUAGGAAUAGUGGAUUAUGAUAAAACACACAUUGCCAGGACUCUUGCCUGCCAGACUAGAGGUAUUGGAAUCCACAGAUUUCUUGGGGCUGUCUGUGUAAGGGGAAUGCCUUUUUCAAUAAGCAUGUUUCUUAUUUUAUUAAGUGAGUACUAAGAGCGAUCUGCAACUGUAGGAGCAGAGGGAGAUGUCAAGUUGAUACUAACAGGUUUGUUUCAGAGCAGUUUACAACUCGUAGGAGAGCAUCAUACUGUUCAGUGAUGUUUGCUGUCUUGUAUGUGUUUCUGGUAGCGAUAUUAAACUGCCUCAAACUUGUUUUUACAGGGGAAAAACACUCUUGAGUUGUGAUGACAGAAGAAGAUGGGGCUAAAUUCCACAUGUGAAUUCUAGGAGUAGCUGUGACUAGAACUUUUAAAUUUUUACCUAGUGUAGGGUGGAUCUGUCCAAUCUUCUGGGAUCAGUGCCUUUUGGGAGAAGUCAUAUUUCUGGUUAUAAAGCAGAGGUGAUUAAAGCUAAUUUUGGGCUAGAUCUUAAUUCCGCUUUUAGACUUAAGAGAAAUGAGCUUAUUAAAGUUCAGACUUGGAGCCUGAUUGAGAUGUUCUGUAGUUUAUCUCUCAUCUUUACGAAGACAGGCUGGAACAUAGCUUACUGUGCCUAAAACUGGCCUUGCCUGCUUCUAUGCAGAUACUGUUAGGAUGACUAGGUCUUUGUGCUGCUUUCAGGGAUCUUCUGCACCUCCUGUCUUUGGGAUUUCACAGUUUUAAAUAAUUGCAGUAAUGCUCUUGGUAGUUCAGUGGCUGUGUUGCUCUCUAUCAUGUGGCUGACCAUACUCUGCAGUAUUACUAAAUGUGAUGACACAUGUGCCUUCAGUGCUGGCUCUGCUGCUGUUCAGGUGUGUUAGAAAGGCUGUUCGAAGGAGUGUAUGUGUACUGCAUAAGCUGAAGGUAAGUUUUUGAAGUACAGAAAAUAAAUGUGAAAUUACAGUUGUCGUUUCAGUAUGUAUGUCAAUGUAAAGCAUUCAAAUGUAUAAAUAAGUCAAUAAAGAGACAUCAACUUUCA